ensembl:lncRNA
GCUAGCUGUCAUCCCCACUCCCUUGUGCAUUUCUUUAUCUGCUCUCGAUGACUGCUUUAAUCCAACAUUUGCUCUGAAACCAAGCCUUGUAACUCCACUAGCAGAGAAGCCCUUGCCACUACUUCAACAGAAGCAUUCAGCAGAGCAAACAGUUAAAGGGGCUGCAAACAUCUGGCUGGAGCCGUGCCCUCAGUCCCUGUGCCAGCGGGUGCCCUUGGCUGUGGGAUCAGUCACGCCUGCCAUGCCAUUGCCUUUGAAUAAUGGAAACACUGCAGCCGGGAUCACAGGGAGCUCUGCAGCUGUAGGGGAAAGCCAGCAAGCAGAUGCCUGCCUUCUUUGCAACCCUUGGCAUGCUAAAAGAUCCUCCUGGUUUGUGUUACAAAAAAAAAGGAAAAAAAGGUGCAUAAAUCUAAAAGCUCUUUGCUACUUGCGACCAUACAUCAUAUAUCAAAAACAGGCUUAAAGCAGUCAACAGGCUUGGUGAAGAUUCUCUGUGUUUUGAGCUUAUCUCAGCCUUGUUUAUGCCAGUGCCCUGAUGUCAAUUGGCUUUUAUAGUACCAACUUAAUCUUCAUAGUGGUAAGUGCCUUCUGAUGCAAGGCGUGUUGGAGUGAAUUCAUUUGUUAUCUGCAGAGUUCAUCUUCACACAAUAGCGUUUAAUGAGAUGUGCUUUGUGCUUCAGACACCCAGCUCUGUAUUCUGGAGUGUGAGAGCAGUUGACUCUGCUGCUUUUUUUAAUUGAGCAUUUGUGUAGCCGAGGGAAGUUUGCAUGCUGGCGUUUUGUUGACAUGGCAGGAAAAUCCUGACCGCGGGGAGCUCUGCACCUGUGCUGUGCAAGGAUCGCGCUGGUUUAGCAAGUCACAGGCACAAAAUUCCCCAGGGCGAGCGUGUCAACAUUUGAAACUGAGACUGGCACGGAUACAAACUUCCCAAAGCUGUCUGCACAGAGCCAGCAGCGUCCUCCAGACCCUUUGAAUGAGGGGAGAAACAGCGAGCCCUGAAGAGAUGCUUUUGCUGUGUUGCUGGCCUAGCCAGUUCCUGGUAUUCCAUGGAGAAGAGGGACAGCAGUGUUUUUGCACUUUUGUGAGAGCAGUUUGUGCCAGCCAUGCAAAAUAUGCACAGCUUGGCCUGCAGUGCCGGGUUUGCCAAGGGACCAGAGAUACCUAUCUUCAAAUACAUGUUUUGCUUCCCAGAACACUUCAUUAGUUUCAGUCAGCUCUGCCUUACACCUAACUUGGAAAAUGUUUCAAGCUCUGCCAGCAGGUGAGAAAGGGAAAUGGAUGCUUUCAGGUUCCACUGGCAGAUUUUCCUGCAAGGAAAAGUCCUUCUUGUUUGAAUUCUAAGUGUUUAUUCUGCAUUCACACGUCUGCAUGUGUAUGGAAGCAAAGGCAGCCAUUAAUGCCUUGCAUCACACUGUAUGAAAUGCAUAUUGAAAUGUACUACGUAUUGCAUGGGACAUGUGUGAUACAUAAACCAGACAUAAUACCAAGGUGCAAAAAUACAGAGAAUAGAUUUUGUGUAUAUAUUGUGCUUUUCAAGCUGUAAGACUAAGAAUGCUGAAGUCAUAGCAUAGCAUCAUAGAAUGACCUGGGUUGGAAGGGACCUUAAGGAAUGACCUCUUUCCAAAGAGGGGCACUUUCCACUAGACCAGGUUGCUCAGAGCCCUGUCCUUUAAUAUAGUCAAAACUGGCUAUAGAACUGUUUGUGAGAUAGGAUCUGUUUGCAUCUUCAUUACUGUGCCUGUUUUCAAUUGUCUUGAGCUAUGGCUCCAUGCCUAGAGUGUUUUUCUUGUGGCCUCUCCAUCCUGGCCCUGCUCAUGUGGUAGAAGUUGUUUGUGCAAAUCAUAGCUACUCCAUUUCUUCUGAGUCCUGUUGCCUUCUGAAAUGUUUUUGGUGUGCAGGGAUCUCCCCUGGGGUCAGCACACAACCAUUAUAUUAAAACCUCUGCUCUCUCUCUUGCUGAAAUCAGUAGGAAAAUGCCACUUGUCUCAGUCUGGGAGACUGAGACGAGUUUGAUGUGGUGAGGGCUCAUAGCUCAGAGGGGUUUGCCUGAAUAAAGCCUAAUUUCUCUUUGCUUCAUGGGACUGAGGCAAAAAUUUGUGAAGGUCUGAGCCUUGGGGAACAUUCUGCAUCCCUUGGUGUGUGUAAUCAGCUGGUGGGUAAAUUGUCCUGGUGAAUAAGUGAAACUGAGGGGCACGGUGGUCGAUUUUGUAUAAAAGUUGUUCAGUUCUUAGUGUGUCUUAGUCUUGGUGGUAUUUGUAGCUGUGUUUCGGGGUCACCUUAAUGAUAUCUUUAUUGUGAUCCAAGAGAGGGACUGUUCUUCAAAUUUUUUUUGCUAUUUAAGAGGGACGUUUCGAGGCUGUUGCCCUCUUCCAGCAGAAUGCCCAUGUUUGGGGAUAUUUUAUGCCUGAGUCUAUCAGCUGAUAAAAGUUCCCCCAAAGUAAGAUAUAAAAAACUCAGGUUGAACACAAGUUCAGGAGGAGUCAUGAGACAUGCUGAGCCUACGUCAAAAAAAUUCCUGUGCUCGUUUCUCCCCCUGGGCCUGGCCCUGUUGGCCCUGCCUAGAACAGGUUGUUCUCCUGACCAGCACCACAGACAGCUGGGCAUGGAGACUCCAGCAAGAAAAAAAGAUUACUGGUAGCACAAUCUUACACAGAUCCUCUUUCAAAGAGGUGUCCUGCCUUUGGGUAGGAUCCAGCAGUGAGUUUCCAGGUGGAAUGCAGCAGUGAGUUCCUAGUGGGUAUUGGAAUCUCCCGCCCGCCGAUCGCACCCGAGGUGUGAAGGGAUUUUGUGGUGAGCAAGGCAGCUCUGUGCAGUUUUUGUGAGCCACAUUUAUAAUUUCUGAGAAGUGCAGAUGAAAAUGAGUAAAGCAGGAGUGGUGUUUGUUCCCUGGGUUUUCUGUGUUUGCUCUGAGAGAUACAGAACUCCAGAACACCAACAGAAGCAUGGAAACUGUAACCCUGGGACUCAUUUGGGGCAUGUAAAUCCUUCUCUAAGCACCUCCUGAAAAGCAGUGAAGUCCCAGAGUCAUCAGUAAUGCUGCAUGUUACAGAACUUGUGGAAUCUGACCUUUUUUAAGGAGCCUUCAGAUUUUUUUUUCACGUGACUGAAAUGACACAGUGUCGCCCAUUGAUUUUACCAGAGGUCUCGUGCCACCAAAUCACAGAGAUGCUUUCAAAAACCUUACCUCAAGUUCUCAGCCCUCAGCACUCCCCCCAGCUGCUCAAAAUGCAAAUCUUUCCUUCUGAAGGUAGAGCACAUCCCUGUGAAGCCAAGUAGGCACCUCCAGGGACCUGUUUCCAUAACAACCUCCCGGACUGUUUCUCUCCAUGCUGUGAUUGUGGCUACAAGCGAAAGCACUCUUUGGAUAUUUUGUGUUCAGGUAUCAGCACCUUAUCUUUACAGAUGUUUUCCUUGCCUACUAGAGCUGAUCCCAUCGCCUUAUAUUGUGUCCAACUUCAGGUGGGCAAUCUCCAGCUUUUGAAAGCAGGGAGUGCAAACCUGGAGAUGGGAAGAGAUUUUAUUUGUCCAUUCUUGCACACAGAGAGCUGGAGAGUGUGUGAAGGACAAUCUGAGCUGAGGGGCAGCUGGCCUGUGAAUGCAAAGUCAUCGGGGUGCUUGGUGGCAAGGCAUAUAAGCUGAAGCAUUACAUUAAAGACCCAGAAAUUCCUCUUGCAGCAAUCUCACUAGGAAAUAGUUUUGCAGUGGAAGAUACUAUUGCUCCUUCCUGAUCCCCUGGCUGGUUUGUGAUGGUUGGUUCCCCUGAUAGUUUUCCCACAGGAUGUUUUGCACCAAAGCAGGCAGGGCAGAAAUCAGCUCCUUGGAGAUGAAAUUCCUGUUCUGCUCCUUCUUGGAAAAUGUUGGAAUUUGGGGUUUUUGAGUAAUUUCCUGUUUGAGCCUUUUGAUCCAGCUUUCGUGGAUAAAAAUUCACUGCUACAGCAGCUGAAGGUGACUGGACUUGAUCUUCUCUCCUGGCUCCUCUCAUUCAGAGGUCUCUAUGGGAUAAAGAAGAGUGAGUGUAAAGAAAAUUCAGGGCAGCAAGUGACAGGGUAAGGACUGAAGUGUCUUCCACAUGGUGAUGGAAAGAACAGCAUCAACCCUAAAUGCAAAGGAACAAGCAGCUCCAGCAUCUGCUGCUAUUGCAGAAAUAGGUCCUGUUUCCAUCAGGGAAAGAUCUGCAGAUUACAGCAGGAGUCAAUCACAGCUUUCCCAAAAGAUCUCACCUGACUUGAGUCCAAGGAAGUCUGUCUGGGUCUUGUUGGCUGGCAGAAGGAGUUGGAAUGUCAUAACACGGCUUUACAUUUUGGGAAACUCAUGGCUGAGCGGGGCAGAGAGACAGAUUUUCUACAAUCUCAGAAUCAUCAAUACCUCAGAUUCCGACACAGAGGGAUAUUCCAGACCUUGUGGCUCAAUAUAUGAAGUGGGAGAAGAAGAAGGAAGAGAAAGGCUGGAUUCUGUAUGCUGCAAGGCUGUCAUGUCAGGAUGCUGCAAAAGAGUUUGUUGCAUCUUCUUCCUGAAAAGUUGGUGGAGUUUCUCUCUAUGCAGAGGGUACAACCUUUAUGGUCAGGACACUGUUUUCCUUGCUCUGUGGUCUUCUUGCUGCUGCUGCUUUUAAAGGGGUCAACACUCUUAGCUCCAGGAAACUGAAACUAAAUGUGAGCAGGGACUGGAGGAAGGAAGCAGGGAGAAUCCACUACAAGAUUCCAAAAACUAAAUAAAGCAGGAUUCAACUGCCAGCGGCUGAAUAGCAGCAAUUUAUGAGCUGUUCCUCAAAAGCCCCAGACAAGCACCAAGUCCUGUGAGAAGCUGGAGAUUGACAGAGGACACCUCCAGAAGAGUCUGCUGUUGAAAUUUCCUUUAAGCUUUUUUUUUUUUUUUUCAAGUGGAGCAUCCAGUCCUGGCAAAUGCAUAAGGUCAGCCCUUGGAAGAGCAAAACGCUGUCUCCAAGAAAACCAAAUGAGUGGCUUAAAUCUGUCCAUUUGUCUGCCUGUUUUUUGGCCUUGGGAUUACUGUGCUUUUCAAAGCUAUGCUUUCAUAACUUGGAUAAAAAGGUAAAUGUUUCAUAUAGCCCUGCAAGUAGUAAUCAUCCUUUUCAUGCAAAAAACCUGCUGCCUGAGGGAUGGGCCCAAACCAGAGGUGUUUCUCAUUUACCUACAAAGUGUCUGGCUUUAGCAUCUGUAGUCAGUUUUUGUGAACAUGUGAGUCCAUUGCCUGCUCUAACAGAGUUAGUGACUUACUUUCAGUGGUUGUAGAGAGUUUCACUGAAAUAGCACUGUUUGUAGUCCAUUGUGUGACUUAGGAGACACAAAAGCCAGAAAAUUCUGCAAUUGUAAUAUAACUGUACGUGGCGUUCCCAGAAAAUGCUCUGAAGUCUUCUCCCGUUGCACCAUGGUGAUAAAAACCACUGCUGCUUUUCAAGCUCCACGAGGCCAUGCUGUGCUGUGCUGAAAGGGAUAGAAAAGCCAAUUAGCUCUGAAAAGUGAAGGGCAGAGAGGAGUGCUCUGGCCUGGAAUUCCCUCCCUUUGGCAGCAGCAAAGGUCAGCUGUGCAGCCAAAUUUCAGUGACCACAUGUGGAUCCAGCUUGUGUGUGUUGCCAGCUAUCUGCACAGGGAGUGGGAGAGAGUGGGGAGGAAGAAUUGAUUCUGGAAGGGGAAAGCCUGAGUUAAAGGGAAAAGUGGAGUGAAAUGUGACAGCUGGGAUUUCCAGAAGGUAGUUUGAUGGAUGCUGGGCAUCCAGCUUCCCUAGAACUCUUUAUCAGUAAUACCCUCUAUAUCUCCCUGAGUGACUUUUAGCCUGUCUGGCAGUUUUCAGCAUCAGUGUGUGAGGGAAAAGAGGUGGAAGGCAGUUCUCUCUGAUUUGGCAGCUCUGGGACUUUGUGCUGCUGGCUGAGGGUCUGGAUUUCUCAGGAACUUCCUGGCUACCUGUGGCUCCCACAGGCUUGUAGGACUGGGCUUAGAGAAACCCUGAGCUGCCAGAUGUCUGCUUUUGGUGCAGCUCUUCUGAAUAGUCCUGGGUGUGGAUGUGAGCCUGCAGUCCUUGGGAGGCAAAAUUCACAAUCCCAAGGGACUUGCUCUAUCUGUCAGUGCAGGCCAGCUGUGGGAAUCCUCCAAGUCCCUUUAUCCUGAUCUGUGUGUCAAGCCCCUGUGGCUGACCCGAGCUGCCAUGGACCCUUCUUGCAAGGGCAAUUAUUUUCAGAGUCAGUGUAGGUGAUGGCUACCUUUGGAAAAGUGUGAAUACCCUGGGGAAAUCCAUGGGGCAGACACCUUGGGCCAUACUGUGUGCUGACACCAUCAGCAGGCAUGAUACAGAGGUGCUUUGCUUUUGGUGUGAAACCUUGCUCUGAUGCAUCAUUCCAAGGAAAACAGCUGGAAUUUGCAGAGCAGGUCAGAGAUGAGUAAUUCCAGCUCCCUUACUGGACCUGAUUUAUACAGCUCAGGUCCAAUAGUUCUGAGAAAUUGUUGAUGGUGGGAGCCUUUCUGUUUGUUUCUCUGAAAACUUGAAGCCUUUCAAAUAAAGAACAAAUGAGGUGUAGGGAAUUUUUAGCUGGGGUAUGUGCUUCAGGGUGUUUGCUGCAUUCAGGCUUCCAGAACACAAAUUCUCUGCAGACAAUCCCACACACAGUGGGAAAAAAGGAUAUUGGGCUUGGAAGUGUACCAGGGAGAUGGGACUCAAGUGAGCUUUGAACAGCAAUCAUUGUCAUUAGUGGUGGUGCUGUAAUAUGUGCUUGACUCAAAUCCAGCAUUGCACAGGCAAGAACCUGGUGAAACCUUGUAACUUGAUAUUUGUGGUUGUGAUCCGCUGUUGAAUAGGCUAGACAUGAAUAAAAUCAGUAUUUU